AUGUCUCAGAGCUUACCUUCAGAGGCUCCUCCAGCAGCACAUUUGAUAGGGACACAGAAGGGUUGGAAAAGAAGGCAGUACCUGAGAAGAUAAAGGGAUGGGGCCACCAAUAAACCCAGCCCACCUUGGAGUAGCCUCUAGACUCAAUUCUCCCUGGGCACCGGUGAAAAUAGGCUAAGCAGAAGGGAGAAACAAUUGCCUGCCUGCAGGACCAAGGGCUGACUAUCCAGAAAAAUGCUGCCAUCAGAGUUUCUUGUUCACCCACAUUCUUCUGGCAUCCUGAGCAUCUGAGAUCUGACUGCACUGGGAAAUUCUAGCAAUAUAAAGAGCAGCC